rnacentral:rRNA from 1 species
GACGAACGCUGGCGGCGUGCUUAACACAUGCAAGUCGAACGGUGAAGCGCCUUCCUUUUUGGUGGGUGUGGAUGAGUGGCGAACGGGUGAGUAACACGUGAGUAACCUGCCCCCUUCUUCUGGAUAACCGCAUGAAAGUGUGGCUAAUACGGGAUAUUCUGGGUCUGUCGCAUGAUGGGUCUGGGAAAGAUAUUGUUUCGGUGGGGGAUGGGCUCGCGGCCUAUCAGCUUGUUGGUGGGGUGAUGGCCUACCAAGGCGGUGACGGGUAGCCGGCCGGAGAGGGUGGACGGUCACAAUGGGACUGAGACACGGCCCAGACUACUACGGGACGCAGCAGUGGGGAAUAUUGCACAAUGGGCGCAAGCCUGAUGCAGCGACGCCGCGUGAGGGAUGGAGGCCUUCGGGUUGUGAACCUCUUUCGCCAGUGAAGCAGGCCUGCCUCGUUUGUGGGUGGGUUGACGGUAGCUGGAUAAGAAGCGCCGGCUAACUACGUG